CGGGGCGUGGCGCAGAUGGGAGCGCGCAGCGUUCGGGACGCUGAGGUCGGAGGUUCAAAUCCUCUCGCCCCGACCA
rnacentral:tRNA from 2 species